UACAGAGGGUGCAAGCGUUGUCCGGAAUCACUGGGCGUAAAGGGCGCGUAGGUGGCCUGAUAAGUAGGAGGUGAAAUCCUGGGGCUUAACCUCAGGGCUGCCUUCUAGACUGUCCGGCUCGAGCACAGUAGAGGCAGAUGGAAUUCCCGGUGUAGCGGUGGAAUGCGUAGAGAUCGGGAAGAACAUCGGUGGCGAAGGCGGUCUGCUGGGCCGUUGCUGACGCUGAGGCGCGACAGCGUGGGGAGCAAACAGG
rnacentral:rRNA from 1 species